AUCAUAUGAAAUAAAGCGCAACAAUGACCUUGCUCCUUUGCAACCUCCGAAAAGACAAGUCUUCUGAACUGACACUUGCGACCUGAAUGUACCAUUGUGAACGUAUGUCUAACCUGGCUUUCACUAUGGAAUGAAACAUCACAACAGCUACAGCAGGAACAUCAGAUGCUCUGAAAUCACUCCUAACUGCAGACCUGCACAGACUGUCACUCAGUGAGAGAGAUGACGGCAUGAGCGAAAGACAUCUGAUGCAAUCACCUGAAGAGUCCCAGCUUCCUGCUGCCUUAUUGUUUCAAAUAGAUUUGACAGCAUGUACAGCACUUUCAUUAAAGCUGAGUGAAUUUUAUAGGUUGUAUCUCCACUAAAAACUUAACCAAAUGGCAUCUUGAAGGGUUAGUGGCAAUUAGGAGUUACAAGUUCCAGAUGUAUAUUGCUACUGGCUCCUCAGAUGCAUAAUGGGCUGCACUGGUUGCCCAUCCACUCAACUAAACACAGAACUAUGUUACUACAGCUCUCCUUAAGAAUGUUUUCUCACCUUGAGACUCCCCAUCUGUUGCUGGUCAUCUGUAGUAGCAGCACAGUCUGAGCCCUCUGCCUCAUUAAGACGACCUUGAAAACUCAGAGGCAACCAACAAAUGCUAGAAAUUCCAGUAUCACUGCCAUCCGACUUCCCUGUUCACACCUGCUUUUCACAGAAACAAAUGGAAAGGAAGCAACGGAAGCAAUAUGAUGCUUCCUGCCCUUACAGGUAAUGUUGAACGUACCAGAAUAGCACAAUGCUGCUGAGUUCAGGCUGAGAAGACCAUACACUGCUCCACAGUUUAACUCUGAAAGCAUAAGCUUCACUUCACCACUGCCAGGCAUUUCUCACCAGUGGCUCACAAAGUAGUAAUAGAAUAAACCAGUUGACUUUGAGAAUUCGUCUACUCAUAGCUACACAAUAAGACUGCAAAGUACUGUUAGUUGGCAGCCCAGAAACAACACUGUGCUCUGAAACAUCACAUGAAAUGCUACUGGCAGGAAUUAAUUCACUCUGACUUCUGUGAACAGUGAAGGUCACAGCAGAAGCAAACACAUACGUAACACCCCCGCACCUUCCCACUCCCCAAGCCCAAAAUGACAGACAGGUACACAGGCACGCUUUGCCCUGGGUCAGCAGCAAUGCCUAUCUACAGCCAUGGCAACGCUGCCUGACAGCAAAGCCUUUGUGAAGUGAGCACUGGGUUGUGCGGGCAGAUACAGGGCAGACUGAAAGAGACUAUGAUUAGUUAAAACAAACAGACUAAACAGAACGGGAUUGUUGUGCCUUCCCCAAGAGUCUAUUGCCCAAGUUACCAUCUCCUGGUAUCUGAUGCCUCCUACGAAGGCUUGUGGAGCUCCGAAAGUUCUGAGGAGCACACACAGCAACGUCAGCUCAAGCAAGAGAGGAAGAGCCAAGAGUAGCGACACAUGGCAAGGAGGAUAACUGCUUACAUCUGCAGCCCAUGAGAAGAAAUAUAUACAGCACAGCUUAAAAAGAACCAAAGAGACAUAAGUAAGUUUAUUUUAAAAUAUAAUUACUUUAAUUAGACCAGCCAAUAUUGCUGGAAAGAGCAGAGUAUUUCUCAGACAUGAUGCUGCUUUAGCAGAUUAGGCAGAGCAGCAAGGCACAAGGCAGAACAAAACUGCUCAUAAUGUAACAUAACCAUGCCAACCAGUUAAACCCCUUGAGAGAUAAAAGCACUUUGCAAUCAGGCAGCAGCAAAGCACGCCAGCGGCAGGCCAGAUGACCAUCACCAGUCCCUCUGCAGGGAUAAGCUACAGUCAGUGACAGUAAGACACAGCACUACACAGACAGAAUACCUCAGGCCACACUUCUUAGCAUGCAGACUCACUCUCAGAUAUCCAGACUGAGAUAACAGAUCAUGUUACCAUGUUAACAAUCAUGUCACUGCCAUACAAUUAGACAGCCAAUGAACAGAGACACUAGCUCUCCUACAGGACACCCAUGAGCUGCAGAACAUGGGGAUACAGCAGCAUUUUUACACACUUCCCCUGGUCUUAUGCCUUCCAGAGGUGUCUGCCUACCACCAUUCCUGGCAGACAACGUCCAGGGCUGAACAGAUCCUCACUGGGGACAGUCAGUCCUUUUACUGACUCUUAACAAACACAAGUUCACACAGAUACAGAGAUGCUGCCCACUAUACAGCAAAAAAAUGCACUUUUUGUAUCUGAAGACUGACAAACUUAGGGUUAUACUUUCAUUACAAGAGGACAAAUCUAAACAGUAAAAAGCAUAUUGCUUUGUAUGAACCUGCAGUUUUAUAAUCUGUAACUAGUAAUGCCCCUGAAAAAAGGUGCUCUCCUAUUGCCUACUUGUUUUCUGCCCCAGUCCUCAUCAUGGAUUUUGCCAUAGCAAGCAUUCAUGCAGUCAGAGGUUGGGGCAGAGCUAAUCUCUUUGAAACAAUCCAUCCUCCAGCUGUUACCAAUGCGUCCUGCUGAACAAGGAGGACUGCCCUUGCAGCAGACAAGGCUCCAAGGCAAGGGAGGAGUGGGGGGUACUGGACAACUUGAGCAGACAUACAGUCAGCCAUGCUCGUGGCAACUGGGCGCUUGCUAGCACACUGAAAACCAGUUGCAAAGGUUGCAACCUCAGAGGGCAUCUGCAUUGGCUGCUUCAUGAUUCACAAAAAAAAACAACUAAAUUGUAGUCCCUGGGGUCCAUUGCUAGUAGCAGCAGGCAGGGUGUGGAAACACAGGACGGAUGCUCUGCAGAGCAAGUUCAGGUCACUGAGUCAGUCAGGAUUUUCAUGGUGGUAUUUUUUGAAAUGCUGUCAGACCACAUAUGAGGCCUGAGAAAGAGGCUAAAGCAGGAAAUCAGAGAUACAAAGAGAAAGGAUUUAGGUAUGACGGGAGCAGGAAGAACUCGUUAGGCAACCAGAGUCAGACUGACUGGCAUGCUAAUAAGAGUCUCGGAACUUCCCAACACUUCUACACCACUGCCAGGUAUUUCCCAAUAACACUCCGGAAGCCUAGAUGCUUGGCCUCACCUGACACUCUAGAUGAAACAGGCAUCUCCCAGACUUGGUGGGAGGAGAGGUACAGUAAGGUACAGCACUGAUAGGCCAGCGGGUCAGCCAGCAAUUCCAGCAGGAAUCACAGGUGAGGAUGGCACUGUGCAUGAAGGACAUUUAAACAUUUAAUGGCAAGAAGCAACCCAGAAAACAAAGACUGCAACAUCUUAGAGGCUGUUAAAAACAAAAAAGCACCCCCAAGAAAGCCCAAAGCACACAACACACUCUAUGAAAAGCCCAGGUCAAACAUUCACAACUGUAUUAAAAGAUCAGGUAAAACAUUCACCACAGUUAGAAGAGAAAAGAAAGCACUCAAGAAAACUCAACCCAUGGCUUGACAGGGAAGCUAUGAGGGCAUCUUGGACAGCAGGACAGCUUUUGAAAACAGCAACCUUCUUUAACGAGAGCAGAAGAGAUUGUUAAACUCAUAUGAGGUCAAAAAUAAACUGGAAAUAAAGGAUUAAAAUGUCUGGAUAGUAUCUUGCAAAGUUAUUUAACAACCUCAAAAGCAGGAAACCAACUAGAAAGAAGUGAACUCUUGUGAAGAGAGAACAUUGUACUGGUCUUUACUGGUGAAGCAGUUGGAGGCACAUCCAUCUUUGCAGCAUGUAGGUCAGAGAGGCUAAGUCAGUGUGAAUUAAUUACAGAUGGAGCAUUAGGCUGGACAGACCAGUUAGUAUUGCUCACCUGGACCAGAUGUUUACAGGAAAGUUUUAAGCCUGAAACAGAAGAACUGCUGGGUGAUGGAUUGCCAGCAUAAUGCCACUGCCUGCAGAGACUGGCAUGGGAGGAAAGCAAAUGUGUUUUCUAUCCCUGGUAAGUAUUAAAUGAUCAGAUCACUGUGCACCAACAUGCACUCUGUCGGGAAAGAGCAUGAACAGCUUCCACAAAUGAGAGUCCUAGCAAGGCCGCUGCUCUUCUUCCCAGCUGAUACCUCUAAUUUGUCUGAUUCAUCUGGAAAUCCCAGGCGAACACCUGACAGUCUUACGGAAGGGAUCAAUCAGGAUUACUUUUAAAAACUUGUAGAUGUAAUCUCCAGCCAUCCAACAGGGACUCAAGGCUCCCUGCGACAGUCAGCACAUUCCUCUGCUACAUAUUGCAGGCUCCGGGCAAACGUCACCACCGUAAAACGAUGAUGCACAGCUUUGCUACACAUCGCACUGUUUGCAACCACAUGCUUAAGAGCACUGUGAUGGACUCAGAUGAACUCAAUAGAGGAAAAAAAAUGAAACAAGCAAACAAACAAAACCCAUCACCUUGUUUAGCCUUCUAUUCCAGCUUGUGCGCUUCGUUCUGACGGCUAGGGAUUUGGAUGUAGGGCAAACAACUGGCAAUGCCACGAACAGCAGAUACACAAAAGGAAGUUUGUCGUGACUGCUUCCUCCCCCAUAGCUUCUGGAUGUACUCAGACAGCAAUCUACCUGCUCAUGCUGCCCAAAGCUGGGAAAAUCAGGAGUCCGCAAAAUAAACAUCAACAAAAAAAAAACACACACAAAGCCAACCAGCUUCCCUCCCCCCAAAAACAUAAACCAAUAACAACCUUGAGUCUCCUUCAUUUCUCUCUACUGAUACCUUAACACUGUACUCAUCUCAACCAAGAAGACAGUUUUAUUCUCAGAGCAGAAAACAAACCCAAGUUACAGUGACUUAAUCUGCAGUUCUUGGCAGCCUAGAAUCAGCAUAAGGGCUGGUUGCAAGGGUCCCAUCCCUUCCCAGGUAGCAUGGGAAGUCCCAGUCCCUUGAGCCAGCUCUGGCAUUCAGCGUGCUAAAAGGCUCAGCAAAAAGUCUUACAACUCAGAGAAAAAAUAGCCUGACAAAAAGCAGCAGUUGGUGCUGCUGACUUAUCAAGCAGAAGCAGCACAGCAAGCAAGCCAUGACCAAUGCAAGUAGUAGAAGUGUGGGUGUGGGGCACACACGAAUGCGUUUCGUUUGCCAUGGACACGGGGUCCUAUCCAAAAGUUGAGUUUAACUCACGCUAGUUACCCAGCCCAGAAGACCAGUUACACCAUUAAGUGCGCUUGCAAUAGAUGUGAUAUGCAGGAGAAGUCUGACCCCUUCUUUCAGUAGCAACCCCAUUAUGCACUAGCUUAAAAAGAUUGUAAAAUUGCAAUUCAAGUCUAUAAUGUUAUUCCAGUGACUCGCAGGAUACAAGGCACUGCAUAAGGCAGCUAUUCAAUACUAACAAGACUAAAGGAAAAAAUAAUUCUGGAAGACCUAGAACUACCCUCAAGCAAAGAGACCACAAUGUUUCCACAACAAAGCUUAAACGUCUUUCUAAAAUUAAAUAUUCUCUCAAGUACACGAGAUACAAACACUGUCUCAUAACUAUGUACAGAACACUUUCAGUAAGAUCCCUCCAAAUGUCAAAACUGAAUUUCAAAAACCAUCUCAUCAGCCUGGGAACACUGGAAAAUAACCACGACGCAUUUCAAUUUCGACACAUUAAAAGCUGCAUAUUCAAGCUUUAUUUUGUUUUUCUCCACCAGAUACCACUUUAUGAAAGCAAAAAAAGAAAACAACAUUCAUCUUAAGUUGCAAAUUAGACAACAUUUCUGAAGCACUCAUAAAACUGCAGCUACAUUGUGCACCAGCAAAAUGUACACAGCCUUUCAGGAGUGGUAUUGGGGUUCUCUGAGAACGCUGUAUGUUACUGUCACAAAAAAUAUACAGUAUGAAAUUGCUAGCUCUGUUAAAGUUGGACAACUGGUAUACAACCACAGAGACCCCUACAACUCACUGUCCAUGAGCAGAUCUCAUACAAACGUAACUCAGUUAUUACACUGAGAAGGAACUGAAAUGAAACAGCUGUGAAUUAAACCACCGACCUAAAGGGCAAUAUUAUUUUGUUGUUAUUAAACCUGUGCAUUAGUUAGCCAUUCAUGCAUUAGUUUCUAAAUGCCAAACCACCAAAGACAAAUCUUUAUUCCAGAAGAUGAAAGAUUCAACUACCUCUACUGUCUAACGAUUUUCAAACAUCAAUACACUUACAAUAGUAAUGGCUUUUAAAGGAUAGUGAAAGAACAGCUAUGAAUUCCCUGAAGGGAAGAGAGAGGUCAAAGUUCCUUUUAUUGGAUAUCUCAGUACAAUGCUUCAAGGCUUUGGGCCUCCUAUUUUCACUAACUCCAAAGCAGAAGGAUUCCACUGCCAUCCCAUCCAGAGACCAGACUGAAGGCUGCAACUCCCAUUCAGCACACCUGGCAGCUGGAAGUUGGAACCUACUGUUCUUCUGAUGUGAGCAACAGGUGGGUCUAUACUGCCAUCAGGCUGGACACUAAAGCGUGGUUUACACACUCUACCAGCACAGCAUCUGCUCUAUCAGCAGCAAUCCUGCUAUACUUACACAGGGCACACAAGGUCAACUCAACCACCUAUGAACUCACACUAAAACAAAUGACCAUCCACUUUCUCUCAGAAGCUGCCCACAGAGGCCGUCUAAAAGUCUUCACAGAUAAGGCAGCAAACUUGAUCCAUCGUCACUGCUCUUUUAUAAUACUCUUUGCUUAAAAUAAAACAGAAAAUCCUCAGUGUCUCAGUUUAAAAUACAGUGGUCAGACACCAGACAGAUGUUAUUAGUGAUGGCACUGAACUUUAAGGCAGAAGUGUCAGUGGAUCAUUAAUAACUGCUAGGGCUGUACAAAAGUAUGUGCACGUUUUAUGAACUUCUGCACGUUUCAAUGGAAAAAGAAGGAAACAAUUUUUAAGCCAGAAAUAAAGUGACACUAAUAUGACAUGGAGAAGAUGCAUAUUGUCACAAUAGAUCUUCAAUGGCAAAACUAAUGUUUUCAUCCUCAAAAACACUGUUGUCAGAUGAUUUCUCAAUUUAGAACACUCUACAAAAGCAGAUACUGUUAAGGGACCAGGAUUCCUGCCAUCCAUCAGUCCCCUCCAGCAGGGGGACCAUAGGAAGAGAAAGAAAAACCCACAUUGAUUUCUAAAAACCAAAUCCAAUCCAGCACAGAUGAUGAUGAACCUUCUAAACCAUUCAAACUAUCACACUCAUUACCGAAAGCAAAGCAUUGUGUAUUUAUCAUAAAGUGAUCAAGAUAUAGCUAAACCACUUGGAUUUUUUUUGCCUCUAAUAAUCUUAUUAAAAGCUUACUCUAAAGCCAUACUGCUCCAGUAAGUGGAAACCUAACACCCUAAAUGUAAAUUCAUUCUGUCAUUUUAUAUCCUUUUGUUGUCAGUACUGGCAUCCAAAUUAAACAGCUAAUUUGUGUCCCUUUGUCUUUCUCUCACUGCAUAUACACAAACAGAUACAUACUCCCCCCCACCCCCAAUCUAGUUUUGUGCCUCAGCCAUCGCUCUGAUCCUCUGAAGGAGCCCAGCCCCUCUCUUCCUUCUCAAGCUGAUCUCACAUUUCUUCCAGGCACCCAGACUACAGCUUUUGAGAGAAGAACAACCAUAGAGGUUUGCAAUUAAGAUCUCUCAAGUACUUAGACCCCUUCUGGUCCUAAUGAUAAUUUCUCCUCAAAACAGCCACUUGUCCUUUACGUACAUACAACGUGAUGAUGACUAAGAGACAACUAGCAGUCAACCAAUAACACCUGGGAACCACUGAGGAGAGAAAGAAACAUUCUGGUUUUUUUAAUUACCCCUUAGGUACAGAAAGCUGAUUUUCAUUUUUCAAUACUGAUUUUCAUCUCGUUUCAAGUCUUCACAGUCUUUCAAACAUUCCUGCUCAGCACUCUGAUCUGCCUCACAACUUUGCCUCUUUAAAAUUUCAUUAUAACCCACCCAUUGCUUGGCAGGGGGAAGAGGAUUUACAUGAAAGACAUUACUUGUGGCUCAAGAUAUCCCAAACUGCAAAUUAGUGAAAGUUAUAAAAACAUUUGGGGAAGUAGCUAGUGCAUGUAGCUUCCUCAAUCACCUUACCUUCUCUUUCAGCUCAUCUACAUUCUUCAACAUGCAGUAAAUCUAUGGAUCUUAUUUCAUUACAGAACCAUAGCUUACUGGUUCUAUCAGGGCAGAAAAUAGGUAAUCAUAACAUUCUCUUGGUUGUAAAAUGUCCCACAAAAACCAUCCUUUUCGGAGAAAUAGGAUGUCUAGAGCUAAAGCAGUUAUGGAAUACAGUUUAUGGAAGGCCCUGUCUUUAACUUGGGUUGGCAGACUUGCAACUGUCUAAGCUGUGCUCAGAGAAAGGAUUCACUGAACAGUAGCCUAAAAACAGGAAGGAAGAUCCUGUGACCAAGAGUACCCAAAUGGAGAAAGCUAUCCUGGAAAAAACAUCCACUGAAAAUUAACAUUUAAUUGAGAAGCAACAAAAGCCUUUGAGGGAUUCAAGCUAACACAAAUACAACUACAAUUCGUUUUGGAUAUAAUGGAUAACAGUACAAAGGAAGAAAAAAAAAAAGAAAGAAAAACAUAUGCCUCCAAUACGCCUCCAAGUUCUCCAUGUUGCCAAUUUAGGCAAAAAAUAUCCCGAGCUGUGUCUGGAGUUUCCUGGCAUGGCCUUCAGGGCAAUCCAGUCAGGGGAAAGAACAAUUCCAACAACAGUAACUGAUUUCUACGGUCCCUCUUGCCACUAAUGUAAAAGCAGGCUGAAGUAGCUUACUUUUAUUGGUAAGAACAUAUGGCAGACAAGGUCGCAUCCAGGUUUGUCCACCAUAAUGACACUGUCAGGAACUAAACACACUCCUUCCAAACCUCACUGCAGUGCUUUAUGCUUCGAGUCACACUUGCCUCCUCCACAGACUUGAAGACAGAGAAAUUGGGCAGAAACUGAGAAGGACUGCAAACAAUCAUAGGUCACAUGGCCAACGUUUUCACGUGAGAUUACCCUUUCUUUUUCGAUUAAUUCCGUUACUUAAAAUCAAAUAGAUUUUAUCUCCAGAACCAUCUGACAAUUGCUGAUCUCUCUGCAGUAGCUCCUUUUAAGAAGCUUCAGCUGUCUCCAAAGACCUAAACUUCAAUGUCAAAAUUUCAGAUGCUGCUCUGGACUUCUCCCAUUUUCUCCUCCAGAGCAAUUUCCACUAAACAUUUCACAUAAAGGGACAGCCAAGGACAUACAUGAUGUUUAUACUGCCUAAACUUCGGAUUUAUUUCUGUAAUCCGAACAUUCAGACGACUACCAUGCCGAGGUAAAGUAAGUAUCUCCCAUCUCCACUUUCAGUGUAUGGACUUCUAAGACAGAUGAUAAACAUUUGAGAAUACAAUGAAACCUUGUCUAAACAUUUCUGAAUGGCUUAGCAAUUUCUCUUGGGGGAAAAAACAGAAAGACAACUUUUUUUUUUUUUUUUUUUUAACUGAGACAAAAUUUCACAACAUUUCAGUGAGACCUUCAGAAAUAGCCUCCAUAAUUCAAGUUAUGCAUUACAGCAAUCUCAGGAAGACUGUAUAAAUUUUUUAAAAAAUCAUACCCAAAAGCAUUUAGGAAUAGCUCAUGGACUUAGCAGGGACAGGAAUGUCCUAUUUCCAGCCAUAAACCAUGCUGUAGCAAGGACAGCUCAUCAUCUUAUACAUUCACCAAUUCUGUCUAGCGUAACUGCACCACUUCCAGCUCAUGACAAAUAAGACUCACCUGCCACUGAGCACUUCUGACACAUUUAAAAAGGAAGAAAACCCACGUACAUUAGCAGAAUAGUACAUAGCAGUAAGCAAAAUUCAAGGAGGUUAUACCAAGCUACAUGUAUUACGUAUGUAAAAAGCUUAACACCUUGAAAUCCUCCAAAAUGAAAGGAGAAAAAAAAAAAGAAAGCUGACAGCAAAUAACAAAUUUCACGUUCUCCCAAGAAAGGCACUACUGGGAACUACCUUCUGCAAUGGCACUACUGCAGACUUCUGCACUAAAACACAUUCCAAACAUGGCAAACAAUGCAACCUUGAGGUUAAGAAGGACCACAGUGGCCGCUGUACAUGCAAAUAUUUAUCUUUUUGAAUCUCUUUUUCCUUGAAAUAAGAGAAAACUUGCAUUCUCUUUCUUCUCUAUAACCCUUUAUUUUUAAUACUUGUUUUUAUUCAGGGUUCCUUCCAAAUGAACAGCGCUUAUCUUUAUCUUCUUUCAACUUCUUUCCCAGUAUUUUUACAAGAAUUCAGACAUCAUGGUGGUGUAUAUCCCACGAGAUUUUUGCCACCUGUAUCUGCUUACUUUUCAGUUCUAACUGAACUGAAUGAGAAUCUGAAUUAUACUCCUAUUUCUCAAGGAAAAGGAGAGCUUAUCAGCAGAAAUCCACAUUUUCCCAACAUGUUAAUAGGGAUUAGCUUUAAUACUACAUUUCCAUUCAGUUCUUUGUAGUUCGGAUAAUUGCUUGUACAACACUGUACUAAAGGAAGACUCCUAUUGCCCGGCUUGCAGUUUUCCAUCUGGGCCAGUGGGUCAGUGAAGCUUUGUUCCCUUCUGCCUAAGGGGUGCAUCACUUACAGCUACACAACGCCCUGCCAGCACUGCAGCCACCCGUGGAGGUGGCCCCUUCCCUCACUACAACUACACCUUCUCUAUGGUUUUUCCAGCCACAUCCCCAGCCUCCAAUACUCUCCCUGCAGAAAGUCUACUUAGAGAUGGGUGGCACAACAUUUUUCUCACUGGCAUUCACUGGCUGUGUAAUGUUACAUUCAAAUUAAAGUACCGAGGACUAGAAAAUACAUAUUUUUAUUUUACCUUUGUAAAGCUUACAAGCAAUCUCUGUGUAACAUACAUAGCUUUCUCCAAAAAGUCAAUGUUUUAGCACCAUUAUCUAUACAGAAAAGAACUGCCUUGCAACAUGUUGUUCAUUGGCAGCUGAACUUCUGCUCCCUUAGGUAAGGAAAACUGUAGCACUCAGUCCUCACUUACUGACUGUCACCAGGAAAAAGGGCUGGAAACAACCAGAUUUACUUUGCUGGGCCAAAGAGCUGCCUGCCCAUCAGUGAAGCAUCACACACUUUUCCCACCUUUUCUAAGGCGCCUAAAGAGAUCUAGAUCUUCAUAUGUACAACUCAGCUCUGCGCAAAAUGCCAAGUGGAAAACAAGAGAAGUAAUUCUCCAGCUAGGUUGAAGCAGAAGUAAUUCUGAUGGUAAUUAGAAAAGGUUUAUGACAAGGAUCCUUCCCUUCUUCCUCUUCUGUUUCCAAGACAGACUCCAAGUACCAUCUAGACAGAUGCAGAUCUGAACCCACCCCAUGCCAGAGAAGCCUGCCAAGGAGACAUCUUGCUGGCAGAGAAGCAGAAGAUAAAUAGCAGGGGUAUGAUUACGGACUUCCAUAUUACAAACAACAUAGUCCUAAGCAGAACCUUGCAAAAAAAAAAACCCAGAAUUCAAGCUAAUGGGAAGAAGGGCAUAAAAUUAUUACUUUUAUAGCAUCAAGGAAUUUGAGAACUCACUCCUUAAAACACAGAAAGGUGCACGUGCCCUGGGAGGAUAUACACUUCUCUGCACAGCUGCUGUCCCAGUGACCUUGCCACAACUCAGCAGAGCAGUUCUGCAUUCCAGAUGUCAUUCUCAAGAAAUCAGCACUUUAAUAACUUCAGCUGCAAGUAUUCAGUGUGGCUAACGAGUAUCCACAUACAAUGAGCACUGCCUUCAGGAAGUUACCAAAGCCCAGCCAGAUCACAAAAAUGAACACAUCCUAGAAGGCACAGAAGUGUAUGAGCAGUCUGGCAUAUAAGAAGGGAAGAUCAGGCACAAAGGGAUGUGACAACUACAACAAAAAUACACGAUUAACGCCUACUUUUGUCCCAGUGCUGUGCCUAAAGACACCAGAGCUUUGGUCAGUCAGCACAAACCACAGCACUAACAGUAAGGAAAUCUACAUCACGUAUCAGUCCAAGUUCAAAUUAUUAACUGCUCUCUGAAUGCAGCGCUGUGACCAUCUUCAUUCUUCAAUCUUAUAGAUACUGCACUUCUAACGUUUUUUUUCUUUUUGAGGAUAUGCUUUAGACAGUUUGUGAAUGAACUGCAGCAGAGCUGCCCCAUCUUGUUACUUAGAUGCAAACUAAGUGUGCAAUGCUAAACUGCAUACCAAUGAAACAUACCAAAUGUAUCACUUCACUCCAUAGGAGCAUAAACAUCAUAAAGAAGGUCAAGCAUUCUCAUAAUGCUUUGCUAAUGAGGGUCAGGGCCUGACUGGACUUGUUUUGGCCUCCAGCCUAGCAACAGCUUCUGUGUUGGCCAAACUCUGAGGAGCCCACUAUGACUUCUACAUAAUUCACACCUUUCUAUUCCUCCAUACAGGCUCUUGCCACUAAAACCACCAGCAUAAGGCUCAAGCACCUGUGUUAGCACACAAGCAUCUCCUUUGGAAGACAAUAACUUGAUGCUACAGGAAGUCUGCUAUAAGCUGUAAACAAGUACUUAAUGUAAAAAUGGAUAACUUGGCACAUUGUGCCUGCUCCAUUAAUCACGGCACAAGCCUUGAGAGAUCCAACAGCUAUGAGCUAGAUGAAUGUAUUUCCUUCACCGACUGGUCACAGCCUGUAUGUACACUAAGCGAGCUGAGCUAGACCCGUCUUCCAAACAUAUUUCCCAAUUAUCUUCCAGUUGUCCACAACAGCAAUUGGUCCCUAUCCAGCAACAUGCAGUCGAAAGGCGUGAUAUCAGAACUGCCCAUACAGUUGGGUGACAUCUAUUUGUUUCUUAAAACAUAAGACAAAGAAGUGCCAAUAUUCAGUUUACCUUGUUUUAGGGCUAGGUGACGUUACAAUUCUGUGCCAUAAGAAGUAACAUGUUCAGCUCACAACUGAACACAAGGCAAAGCUUUACAGAUUUUCUUAAUUCAACAAUAAAUAUUUGCAUUAAAUAAUUAAAUUCUCAAUAAUUUAUAGCAAAGGAUGUUAACAACACAUACACCACGUCAUACAGAGACCCAGUGAAGUUCAAAUUUUUGCAAAUCAAAUUUGCAAAAUCCCCAGAAAUCUUUAUUAAGCAAGUUUCUUCAACAGAAAAUAGAGUAAAAGGAAAGGUGGCAGAAGAUCCGAAUGUAACUAAAAGGCAGGAGGCAAUAAAAAUGAAUGAGCAGAUGGACAGCACAGGAGAAGUGGCUGCCGACUCCUCACCUUACCUCACCCCUACCCUACUAGGGAUAGGGGAACAAACAAUUCUACAGAAGUAGCAUUAGAGUGAGGCAGAGCACCUCCAGCUUUGUGGUGACAGCUUUUAUCUGAAGCAGCAAUAGCAGGGCCCCUUUCUUAAGGCCAUCUGUGAUGCAAUCUCUUGUACUAAUAGAAAUGUAAGAACAGUUCACUACAAUGAGUUUAUGAACCAAAAAGCCCUCAUUACAUUAUAUUUAACUUAAUUUAGAGUUUAUCAGAGCAUUAUUUGGUCCAUUCACCAAGCAUAGCAGAAGAUGAGCUCACCAGCAAAGGCAAGUUCUUCUGAAGCCAUACAGCUCAGUUCAUUUUCCUUCUCUGCUGUACCAAACUGCAGUCACCAGCCCUGUUUCAAAAUAUGCUGGGAAUUCCCUGCUGAGCACUGCCAAUGCCCGCCAAAAUACACAUUUUCUACUGCACUGUAUUUUAAAAACUUCCACCACAGGAUACCACUUUGAAAGAACCACUACUUCACAUUCCAGCAUUUAAUGUUCAACAGUAACGACAGUGUUAAGACAGAAGAAGAUGCUGAAGUUUGAAAGAAACCACGAGACACAUGUGAAGAGCAGAAUGAAGUCAGACAGACGCACAGACACCAGAGAACACUUCCCUGUGUCUGCACUUUUCAGUGCUGUUUUUUUGUUUUAUGACUAGUGUUGAUCUUUAGCUGUGACCAAGCAAUCAUUAUAGCUGUUGUGUAACGUCACCGAGUGCGACAAUAAAUACAAAUUAUUGCACAGAGUAAGUUUCCACUGCCACACAAGUACGGUAGAGCAACAGAAAAAUUUCAGACUUCUGACAUCAACAACUGCAAUGUCAAUGGGUACAGCUGAACUCUGAGUGGGAUUGCAGAGGAAUAAUUCUUUUUCUUUUUUCCCCUGUUUAAAGACUGUGCUCUGAAAUCCAUUCUUUGUUACGUUUCCAGGAGGUUUUACAAAAAUGCUUGUAAAGAAACAUACCAGCACAAAUGAGGAGCCCAGCUCAAGGCUCCAACUUUACCUCUGACAGUAAGUUGUAGAGACUAAAACAGGAAGCGAGGCACUGGUCAAGAAACAAGAAAUUGAGAGAAGCACGUAAUCCUACAAACCUGCAAGCAAUAACCUUUCUUAUUUACAGACAUGCAAGCACAUGAAUACAUCUGCAGACAAGCCUAGUCUGUUCCUGGACAGCCAGGAACAAACCCUGGAACUAUUUCUUUAUCACAGGGUUAAUUUACACUCAGUGAGCAGAAUCACAACUUCAUUUGGAAGUGUGAAAACAGGUCGGCACAAGGUGAGCCAGCUGCACGUUUUAAGACUGUAUUUAAGACCGUCUCCAAACUUCGCUAACAAAGAACCAAGGUGAUGCAGUAUCACUGCUCUGCACCCUUUGAGAACAUGUAAACUGACAGACUGUAGACCGGGAAGCACAAGGAAGUACAAAGGUCAAGUAGACCAAUCCCACACUGCAGCCGUAUCAGUCCCGCAGCCAAACGGAACAGUCGAUGCAGAAUACUACAAGUCACCAAUGAAGAAAAGAACUGGCACCUUUCCAGUCUAACUCUUUGGAAUAAGGUUGGAUAUCACCUAGAAAAUCGUUUAACUCAGAGCCCUUCAGUCACAGGAGAUGGUGCAGCCGGGCAGAUGACUCUGGUGGCAAUGAGCGCGGCUGCCAGCAACGCGGCUGCCGGCGGCUGGAGCCCUGCACGUGCACGGGGCUGGCAGCCUCCGCAGGCGGGACGCCUCCUCCCGCACCAGACUCACCACAAGAAUGCACAUCAGCUGCAUCCAUUUAACGCCUCUGGCACGGUCCCCCUGCAAGAUGAGGAGGAUAUGAGCAAGCCAUCAGUAAGGCAUUUGAUGCAAGGCACUCACGGUAAACAUCCUUCCCAAGAGCUCCUCAGCCAGGCAGGAAGCAGGGCACAGGCGGCACUGGCCAUUCCAGCUGCAGAACCUUGCUCCUGGUUACCAGUACCAGCUGGCGGGGGCAGAACACACAAUCCCCUAACAAAUUGUGCCGAGUAAAGAAAGGCGCUCACCACCAAAACGAUCCUGCUGAGUAGUAGCCUGUUCCCAAGUGACCUUCAGGAAGGAUGCAAACAGUGGUGAACAAGGAACCUGCUGGACUGCUGUACACGUUCUCUACAAAGACAGUGGCAUUCACACAAGGUAGGAAGACAUAGGAAGGUGAGGCAAACUGUGCAGAAUCAGAAACUCAGAAGGGUGACUUCUGUGUGUUAAAGGAAAUAUACACAGUAAGCAGAAAUCAGAAUCUUUAAGGGAAAUAGUCCUCGUUCCCCACAGCGCAGCUCAGCUAAACUCUUUGAACACUUUGCACCCUUCCCAUCCAGGGACAACAUCCAUGCACACACAUUUCCACUCAAGCACCUUCCCGGUAGAAGAAAAACAGUCAGCAGCAUGAGCCUUGAGCCCUUGCCUGCUGGUGGGCGGCCCUUUCCCACUUCACAAUGGAAGGCAGGACAAGGUAUUGUUCCCAGUGAUCGCAGAGGAACGGGGUGUGUUACACUAAACCAAACCAGAAAGGAAAUAAUGGGAUGCAAGGUAUUUGUUUGGAAGGUAAGAAAUACAGGGAAAAAGGCUAUUUUCCUUCCCCCAAAAUGCAUGGGGGUAAAGUGUUUCACAACACUUUCUGCAACUCCUCCAUUGUAUUUUCAUUAGCACUUCUAAACCUCUACAGCAAAAUAUCCUGCCUUUAAUUAAUUGCUGUGCUCCAUAACUUUACUCGUCCAGCUGAGUUUCAAGAACAAUGUCUGAAUGAUAUUUUGUGUGUCAAUUUUUGUCUGCUGUAGCAGUUCUCAAACUUUAUAUCAGCUUUCAUACCUCCAAGAUAAUUUUUACAUUCCUUCCACCCCCACCAGUGCAGUUUGAGAGACACUGCACUGGCAGAAGCAAGAGGAGAGGACAUGCCCUGCCGAGCACACCCCGAGAAGAAGGGAGGGGAUGUAUUAGGGAGCAAAUCACAGUGACAUGAAAUUUUAAGUUGAAGAAUGCUGCUCAAUUAAGACAGUAAUAGAGGAAAAUGCUAGCACAUCAAUGGAAGACUGCAAGAGAAGCAGAAGCCUGAGGCUGGAUGGAUCUUCUGAGUCUGUUCAUGCUAAGACACUGCUGGACACACACAGCAUGUUCCCACUCUCUUCUUCUGAAUCCAUGACUCUCUGUCUCUGACCCAGCAGCUUCCCAGCAAUGCCCUCCACCAGCAUCCCAUAUCCCGUGCUUUGGAAAUUACAGUCAGAGACACAAAAAUGCCAACUAUUUAACCCAAGUCUGGGCUGUGCUUAAGUCUGAAACCUGCACCCUUUCAAAAGCCAUUUUUUGUUUCCUUUCUAUGAAUUGCUCAAAAAUCCUUUCCUUUCAAGCCCUGCUAUGAUCCUCAGCUUAGGAGCUGAAAGUUCCAAAAACCUGGAGGCACUGCAAGCAUCCUUUGUUCAGAAGACAACACACCACAACCUCUGGCUCAAGUGAUUCAGCAACCUGCUCUUCUUUGAUCGUGCCCAGCUUUCUUGUUCAAAGGCCCACGAGAAGUAUGAGUAAUGCUUGGGUGAGGAUACCUGCUUACAAGCCUUUCAUCUUCCCUGUAAUUAAUAUAAUUAAAAAUAUAUUUCUAGAGUUCAAUCGCUGACUCUUAUUUUAGGCUACUACUCUAAGACCAGAUACUUUUAAUACGUGGACAAAACUUGCAAAAGGAUUCCUGGCAGAAAGCCGCAACACACAUUCACUGAAAAAUGCCAGAUCUUCUUCAGGCUUUGUGCUCUACAAGAUGAAGCUCAGCUUCAAAGACAACAUCCUACCCCUGUGAGCCACCCGGUUAUCGAUAAGCCUGCCUGCAAACCUUCCGGCUGCCGGAAGCCAGGCUGCCUCUGAACGUUUGGCUGGAGCAAAUUAUUCACUGACCUAGAAUUUUACAUGUAACACUGAACAACUUUUUCAAAGUUGCUUCCCCAACCACACAAACAUAAUCAGCUCACGAGGCUGCUGAAAGCAGCAGUUCUGCCAUCUGUCCGCUUAUUCCCCCCUCACACUUGUGCAGGCACAAGCGGUUGUGAAGCCACACAGUGAUCCAGAGGGAACCAAUCUCUGAAAACCAACCAGGGAAAAAGUAAAACGAUAAUUAGAUCAUUCUUCCAGUCUGACAAACAGUAGGACUGUGCACGCUGACAGGAGCAUGGGAGUAAGCACAGCAACAGAGUUAACAGCAGUGCCAUUUGCAGAAGGCCACUGGCACAGCAACCUUCUUUAAGGGCAGGCACUAAAUCUCAAGAAUGCUUAAGCACACACGUGAACUUUAAGUAAAAUGAUUUGUACUUCUCGAAUUUGCUAUUAUGAUACUUUUAAAGUAACAGGCGGGAGAAGAAAGCUGAAGGUCACCCAGAGGAAUCAAAGUGCUGCUGGAAAGCAUUUCUGCGGUCAUCUUCACCUCUACCUCAGUUUCCCCAACAAAAAAGGGACAGUAACACCAAUCUCUUCAGCAAAGUAUUAUGACACAAUUAAAAACACACCGUGGUGAUACGAUAAUGCCGUUACAGAGAGACAAGGACAGAAUUCAACUUUCUUGUGGCAAUGAAUGAGUGAAAGGGCACAAAGCUGACAUGGGAACCUCUGACAGUCUGGGAUGGAGAACAGACACAGGACACUGCAAGGCAAAAUGGCCACUGAGAGCAGCAGCUCCUCAACAUCGCUAUCUACAAGAGGACAGACACAGAUGUACAAACUACCUGGGUAAAGAAACUCACAGCGGAGUCUCCCUGCCCUCCUUUCAUUACUGGUACUCUGAUGUAACCACAUAGGAGUUAUGAAGAGAGCAUAGGAAGGACUUGCUGGGGUGGCAGGUUAAGUAGGAAUCCACAGAGCUGGGUUGUCAUGACAGCAGCUGAAAGUAUGCAAGAGAUGUAUAGAUCCUGGGUGUUAGAACAGCAAGGACUCCAAACAAGAUCAUUAAAACAUGACAUUAUUUUUAACACCGAGAGGUAUACGCUACAUCUCAUUAAUGAAACAUGGACUGCACGCUAACCACUUGCACUGGUGAGGGUGCGCGUGGAUGGAGGACAAACGUAGAAAUGCUUCCACUAUACCAGCAAAGAGCACAUUCUGCCCAGAGCCCAACAGUCAUGCGGCACUGGGAGGGAGCAGUGCAUGCGCUCCUGUGGAUCCCUCACUUGAGCCUCAGCGGAAGCUCGAGCUUCAGUUUCUGAAGCCCAGAAACUCACCCCACAAGCUCCACCACACACACUGUAAAGCAAAGUAAAACGGUGGAAAUUAUUUCAGCAACCCCUUACAUUAACUUGGCAUUCACGCAGCAUGCAGAGUUGGUAACGUCCCAGCCGGGAGGCAGUAACUUCCUGCAGAGAGAAGUUACUCCCCGAAGUGCCCAACCGCGCCGGCAGCAGCACGGGCACACACUGCACUGCCAGGGCAUGAGGGUUCAACACAGACCCCGAAUAAGCACAGCUCAGCUCCGCGCAAAGCGGGCCUUCGUGGAGGCUCUCACAAGCAGGCUUGGGAGGCAGAGGCGGGUGUGACUAACAGGUGUUAGCUGUGAUCCAUUCGGAACUUUGGAAUUUGGACGUGGUAGAUUGCUGAGGGUUUGGUAUACCUAAUACGAGACUGUCUCUGGGGGUUGCUACAGAGCAAGGACUCUGGGACCAAGCAGCACCUCAGGUGCCUGACACGGGGUACACACUGGUACAGCAGUGCUCACACACCAGGUUCCCCUCAAGGUACUCACCGUGACACAGUGCCGAAGCAGAGCCCGCGCUCACGCGGAACACGCGCGCUCAGAGCCCGCUUAGCGGAGGGCUCCCGGUGCGGCCCGCAGGGAGAGGCGCGGGGCGC